rnacentral:misc_RNA from 1 species
GCUUUGCAAGCUUCUCAAAUUCUUCCCUAGUUGCCUUAAUAUCUAGAGGCUGAUCUUCGUUGGGGCCAAAAAUGGAUGGGAAAUAAUCAGGAAUAACAAAUCCUAGAAUAAGGUUAGCAUCAGUAACUGCCAAUUCCCCUCCUUUCCGAUAACAAACGGGCCCUGGGUGGGCACCCACUGAUUCUGGUCCUACCCGGAAAGCACCAAAUUGGAACUUCAACUUUGAUCCACCACCAGCAGCAACAGUAUUUAUAUCAAGCUGAGGUGCUUGUAUUAUGGCGCCAGCAAUCUGGGUUUCAAUAACUUGUUCAUAAAUCCCAGCAUAUCGGCUUACAUCAGUAGAUGUACCACCCAUAUCAAACCCAAUAAGGGGCUUUUCUGUUUCAAGUCCGAAAAGAGUCUGUGAGUAACCAACAACUCCACCUGCAGGACCUGAUAAAACGGCUUUAUGUCCUGAAAAUCUACUUUCAGGUGCAAGUCCUCCAUCUGAUUGCAUAAAUAGAACAUUCACCUUCCCCAGCCCGUCAUCAAAUCUAGAAAUGAACCCUGAUAAGUACUCUUUGAUGACAGGGGUCAAGUAAGCAUCCACACUAGCUGUUAGACCCCUAGGAACAGCUCGAACCAUAGGGCUCAAAGCUGAAGACAAGGAAACAUGUCUGAAACCCAAACUCACGGCUAACUUUUCCACAGCUAUUUCAUGCUGUGGAAAAGUGUAAGAAUGCAACAAUACAACGGCCAAACAGCU